CUGGCGGUAUGCUUAAGACAUGCAAGUCGAACGGAAUCUUCGGAUUCAGUGGCGGACGGGUGAGUAACACGUGGGAAUCUACUGAGUAGUGGGGGACAGCCCGGCGAAAGCCGGAUUAAUACCGCAUACGCCCUACGGGGGAAAGGCGCAAGCCGCUAUUUAAUGAGCCCGCGUAAGAUUAGCUAGUUGGUAGGGUAAAGGCUUACCAAGGCAACGAUCUUUAGCUGGUCUGAGAGGAUGGCCAGCCACAUCGGGACUGAGACACGGCCCGGACUCCUACGGGAGGCAGCAGUCGGGAAUAUUGGACAAUGGGCGCAAGCCUGAUCCAGCAAUACCGCGUGUGUGAAGAAGGCCUGCGGGUUGUAAAGCACUUUCAGUUGGGAAGAUAGUGACGUUACCAACAGAAGAAGCACCGGCUAACUCCGUGCCAGCAGCCGCGGUAAUACGGAGGGUGCAAGCGUUAAUCGGAAUUACUGGGCGUAAAGCGUGCGUAGGCGGUUUUUUAAGUCAGAUGUGAAAUCCCCGGGCUCAACCUGGGAACUGCAUCUGAUACUGGGAGACUAGAGUGUGGGAGAGGAGAGUGGAAUUUCCGGUGUAGCGGUGAAAUGCAUAGAGAUCGGAAGGAACAUCAGUGGCGAAGGCGACUCUCUGGACCAACACUGACGCUGAGGCACGAAAGCGUGGGUAGCAAACAGGAUUAGAUACCCUGGUAGUCC
rnacentral:rRNA from 1 species